rnacentral:rRNA from 1 species
AAUCUUCCACAAUGGACGAAAGUCUGAUGGAGCAACGCCGCGUGAGUGAAUAAGGUUCUCGGAUCGUAAAGCUCUUUUGUAAGGGAAGAGCAAGUACAGGAGCAACUGUCUGUACCUUGACGGUACCUUCCCAGCACGCCCCUGCUAACUACCUUACAGCAGCCGCGGUAAUACGUAGGUGGCAAGCGUUGUCCGGAAUUAUUGGGCGUAAAGCGCGCGCAGGCAGUCCUUUAAGUCUGAUGCGAAAGCCCACGGCUCAACCGUGGAGGGUCAUUGGAAACUGGAGGACUUGAGUACAGAAGAGGAAAGCGGAAUUCCACGUGUAGCGGUGAAAUGCGUAGAGAUGUGGAGGAACACCAGUGGCGAAGGCGACUCUCUGGUCUGUAACUGACGCUGAGGAGCGAAAGCGUGGGGAGCAAACA